GACGAACGCUGGCGGCGUGCUUAACACAUGCAAGUCGAACUGAAAGGCCCUUUUGGGGGUCCUCGAGUGGCGAACGGGUGAGUAACACGUGAGUAACCUGCCCUUGACAUCGGGAUAACUUCAGGAAACUGGGGCUAAUUCCGGAUAGGAAUCCUUGCUGCAUGGUGGGGGCUGGAAAGCUUCAGCGGUUUUGGAUGGACUCGCGGCUUAUCAGCUUGUUGGUGGGGUAGUGGCUUACCAAGGCUUUGACGGGUAGCCGGCCUGAGAGGGCGACCGGCCACAUUGGGACUGAGAGACGGCCCAGACUCCUACGGGAGGCAGCAGUGGGGAAGAUCGAACAAUGGGCGGAAGCCGGAUGCAGCAACGCCGCGUGCGGGAUGACGGCCUUCGGGUUGUAAACCGCUUUCAGCAGGGGCGAAGCUUGUGGUGACGGUACCUGCAGAAGAAGCACCGGCUAACUACGUG
rnacentral:rRNA from 1 species